rnacentral:rRNA from 1 species
AGUGAACGCUGGCGGUAUGCCUAACACAUGCAAGUCGAACGGCAACACAGUAAGAGCUUGCUCUUACGGGUGGCGAGUGGCGGACGGGUGAGGCAUACAUCGGAAUCUACUUUUUCGUGGGGGAUAACGUAGGGAAACUUACGCUAAUACCGCAUACGACCUACGGGUGAAAGCAGUGGAUCUUCGGACCUUGCGCGACUGAAUGAGCCGAUGUCGGAUUAGCUAGUUGGCGGGGUAAAGGCCCACCAAGGCGACGAUCCGUAGCUGGUCUGAGAGGAUGAUCAGCCACACUGGAACUGAGACACGGUCCAGACUCCUACGGGAGGCAGCAGUGGGGAAUAUUGGACAAUGGGCGCAAGCCUGAUCCAGCAAUACCGCGUGGGUGAAGAAGGCCUUCGGGUUGUAAAGCCCUUUUGUUGGGAAAGAAAAGCAGCAGGUUAAUACCUCGCUGUUCUGACGGUACCCAAAGAAUAAGCACCGGCUAACUUCGUG